UGAUUCACGAGAAAGACGCCCAUACUUUUGAGCCGUAAUUUUAUCCAGACGCUCAUGGCCACAUGCUGCAACAGAUCUGAGAGAAGGCUCACAAAGAUGAGCUUAAGAAGAACGAAGAGACCAUUUCAAGGAUAAUGAACCGUUAAUGAGGUCACUGUCAAAGCUAGUCAAUCUUAACAAUCCAGAUCUUGUCCUGUUUGUUGGAGAG